AUACGAAGGGUGCAAGCGUUAAUCGGAAUUACUGGGCGUAAAGCGCGCGUAGGUGGUUCAGCAAGUUGGAUGUGAAAGCCCCGGGCUCAACCUGGGAACUGCAUCCAAAACUACUGAGCUAGAGUACGGUAGAGGGUGGUGGAAUUUCCUGUGUAGCGGUGAAAUGCGUAGAUAUAGGAAGGAACACCAGUGGCGAAGGCGACCACCUGGACUGAUAUAGACACUGAGGUGCGAAAGGGUGGGGAGCAAACAGGUUUAGAUUCCCUGGUAGUCCACGCCGUAAACGAUGUCAACUAGUUGUUGGGUUCCUUGAGAACUUAGUAACGAAGCUAACGCGAUAAGUUGACCGCCUGGGGAGUACGGCCGCAAGGUUAAAACUCAAAUGAAUUGACGGGG
rnacentral:rRNA from 1 species